UAAGAAUUGAACGUGAAUUUUUUUGAGUUUCAUGCUAGUAUGAAACGCAAAACCGCUUUACACACUUUAGUAUGAAUGGCGUGUGUAAAGUGUGUAAAGCGGUUUUGCGUUUCAUACUAGCAUGAAACUCAAAAUAUUUCACGUUCAAUUCUUAAAUAAAACCAAAAUGCGUGUGAACGUUUCUUAAAUGUAGACAUGUUUUCUAAACUAAAAAGGUCAAGGUCAUAGCGCACGCCUAUCUUGGGCGUAGGUUGUGACCACUCCCAGCUCCUUCGUCCAAGACAGGAUAACAAACAUACAAACACCACCGGCGACAUAUUUAUAGGAACAAGAGGAAUAAUUAGUUAACAUUAAAGAGAGAUCUCGCAGUAUAAAUAAAUAAAUAAAUAAAUAAAGGGAGUGAUCAAUUAUUCCCCAAACAUAUAUUAUGGGAGCCAUAUUACCAUAUUGACAUUUGAUAUUUAUUUCUGUUGUAGUAGUAUUUUCUAAAAUUAAAAAAAGUCACAUGCUAAGAACAGCGAAAACCACUCCCCUUGAACUAUUCUUAAGAGGAGUGAUGGGGAGCGAGAGUGAAAGCUCUGUUAUUACUACUUUUAUUGCUUGCUACAUUAUCUUUUUCUUUUUUUUCCCAGUGUUUGCGAGGAAAGAGGCGGAACAAAAAGGAAUGCGACCAUGACCCUGACCCAGACCCUGAAAAGCCACGACGGAAAUCGUUAACAUUUAGACCAUACAUUCCUACUAGAAGGUCAGUUAUGGAGUCCGAGGGAAGACCCUCACCAUGAAAAGCCACGAUGUAAAUCUAUAACAUUCAGUCUACCACUUCCUACUAGAAGGUCACUUAUGGAAUCCGAAGGAAAAUAUAACGAGGAAAAAGACAAUGACACAGCAUCAGAAGACACAUUAGACGGAUAUCAUGUAGCUGAAGAUGGUGAUAAUCUUAGGGUAGAAGUGAAUACUGAGUCAGAGAGUUCCGAAGAAGAGGUUAAAUCUAGUAACGAGACUGAAUCCGAAGGAAACAUGUGACAUAAUGUCAAGGAAGAAUCUGCAACUGAACUGCAAAAUAGGCAACAAUAUAAACACAGCCAAAAACACAAACAACAGACACUACACGUUUCUGUGGAACAACCCAAUAUUGGACUGCCAGAUAAGCAACGUGUUUGCUAGAAAAGAGGUGGAACAAAGAGGAAUGUCACCCUGACCCUGACCCUGACCCUGUUCCUGACCCUGAAAGGCCACGAAGGGAGAUCUGUAACAUUAGUGAAUACCUUCCAACUAGAAGGUCAGUUAUGGAGUCAGUUAUGGAGUCCGAGGGAAGAUACAAUGAGGGUAAUGAAAUUGACACUGAAUCAGAAGAUUCACUGGCUAGAUAUGUACGAGGGGGUGGUGAUCAUCUUAUGGAACAAGUGGAGACAGAGUCGGAGAGUUCCGAAGAAGAGGUUGAAGAGGUUGAAUCUAGUGACAAGACUGAAUCCAAAGAAAACGUAUCACAAAAUUUUAAAGAAGAAUCUGCAACUGAACUGCAAAAUAGGCAACAGUAUAAACACAGCCAAAAAGCCAAACAACAGACACUACACGUUUUUAUGGAACAACCCAAUAUUGGACUGCCAGAUAAGCAACAGUAUAGUUGCCCACAAGAACCUAAUAUUAGACUGCCAGAUGAGCAACAAAAUAGUUACCUACAAGGACCUAAUAUUGGACUGCAAUAGAAAAAGCUAUAUAAUUACAAGCAAGAGCCCAAUAUUAGACUAUACGCUUGCAGCCAAGAAUCUGAAAGAAGUAGCCAAGACUGAAAAUUGCAUAUGCAUAUAAGAUCUUGCAAAGGAAAUACAAAGAACCCUACAUUGCUAUCAAUGGCAAGAUAUACAGGUGCAGGGAGGAACUUGACACCGAGCUAAAAGAGAGAAAAUUGUCUCGUUACGAAGAGAUAAAUGAAUUUGCACCCAGAUCUAAAGGCCGAAAACUUUAAAAAAAAAUUAAACCAUGCUUCAUGAAACCUGUUCUGGACUAAUGCAUCGACAACAGGCGCGUGUGCAGUGGGAGCAUUUUGGGGAUCCAACCCCAUCCCUGCUCAAGCAAUUUUUUAUCAAUACAUUUUCCAGGGGAGCAUGUCUCGGCCCCCUUAUUAACUUGCCAAUCUACACGCCCCUGCUAAGAUUCCUGCAGAUGCGCCUGAACAGGAUCAGCCUAGUUUCAGCAGACCAUAAUUUGACAACAAAUUGCAAAAUUUUUACAAGAAUAGCUUCCAAUGGAAUAUAAUAAGACUAUAUCGCAGGGAGUUUGAUUCCCUCUACAAAGUGACACUACUUCUCACACACUUCGUGCAGAGAAUUUUAAAGGUUUCUGUUCACUACGUGUUCACAACACGUCCACAAGACAAUACCUCUUGCACGUUUCACGUAGAGAAAACUUUUUUAAACUACAUGUUCACAACACGUCCGUGAGACACUACCUUUCACACAUUUCACGUAGAAAAAUCUUCAAUUUUUGUGUGUUUAUAACACGUCGGUGAGACACUACCUCUUGCACGUUUCGCAUACAGAAAUCUUAAAUGUUUUUGUGGUCACUACCUAAUCACAACAUGUCGAAACACUACGUGUUACACAUAUCGUGUAGAGAAAUCUUAAAUGUUUUUGUGUUCACUCUAUGUUCACAACACGUCUGCGAGACACUACCUAGCACACGUUUUGCGUAGAGAAAUCUUAAAUGGCUUUUUGUUUACCAUGUUUAAAACACGUCUGCGAAACACUACCUAUCACACGUUUUACGUAGAGAAAUCUUAAAAGGAAUUGUGUUCACAACACAUCCGCGAAACAUUACGUAUUACACAUUUCGCGUAGAGAAAUCUUAAAAGGAAUUGUGUUCACAAAACGUCCGCGAAACACUACCUAUUACACAUCUUAAAAGUGGGUUUUUUGUUCACUGCACGUUCUCGAGACACUACCUCCUCACACGUUUCGCGUAGAGAAAUCUUAAAUGUAAUUGUGUUUACAACACUACCUCUCACGUUUCGUGUAGAGAAAAAUUAAAAGUAAUGGUGUUCACAGCACGUUCGCGAGACACUACCUCUCACACUUUUCACGUAGAGAAAUCUUAAAUGUAAUUGUGUUCACAACACUACCUCUCACACGUUUCGUGUAGAGAGAACUUAAAAGUAAUGGUGUUCACAACACGUGCGCGAAACAUUACCUCUCACACGUUUUGCGUAGAGAAAUCUUAAAAGGAAUUGUGCGCGGUUUGUCGAGGAUCGAUCCCAGUCGAUGAACCCAUUAGACUAUUUAUUGUUCUAGCCAGUACGCCACGAGUGGUAUAUCAAAGACCGUGGUAUGUGCUAUACAGUCUAUGGAUGGCGCAUAAACAAAAUCACUUGCUACUAAUGGAAAAAUAUAGCAUUUGUCCUUUUUAAAACUCUAGCCGGUCAUUAACAAAUCAAUUAAUGUGUUCUAGUGGUGUCGUUAAACAAAAUGAACUUUAAACCAUCCAACGAUCCAUCCAUACAUACGUACCAAGCCAUAUACAUACGUACCCGCCUACAUACAUACAAACCUACAUCCAAAGAGGCAUACUUAUAUACAUAGAUAGUAGAUACACUACUGCCAGUACAUAUAUACAUAGAUAGUAGAUACACUACUGGAAAGUGCAUAUAAAAUACAUUAAAGAUUAUUUAAGAAGAGUUAAUAACAAAUAGUGUUCAACCCAACAGCAUGUCACAACACAGCGAAUGUAUGUCAUGAAAAGGGUAUCACCCCUUGUACCACCAGAAUCUGGCUGUGCAACAUACUGACAUGUCUCUGCGUAAUAGAAAAUCCUUGAAACAUUUCAACACCAUUUCUUGCAGCAACUUAAAUGAACUUUUUCUACAUGCAUUAACGACGAAUUGUCCAUACUGACUUCUGGCUCUCUGUGGGGCGGGAUCUAACUAAGUCCAGUCGGUAUUUGUUCACCUGAGGUGCUUGAGUCGAAGAAUUGUAUCCAUUAGGAGAACCCAAGCUCUGAUUGUUUCUUUGUUUCCUGUCUCAACCAGUGGCCCACGCCUGGACAUCAAAGGAAAAGUAUAACGGUUUCCUCUUAGGUUAUAUGACCAAAUGACUGACAUCAAACAGCCGAUAAUUAUUAAUAAAUCAAUGUGCUUUAGUGGUGUCAUUGAACAAAACAAACUUUAACUUUCUGGCUCUGUGGUACUCCAACGCAAGGCAUGUGUCGAUUUAGUUAGUAAUGACAAUUGUGGUAAACUGCAUUUUCCUGCAUGUUGUAUUACGGUUAAACGCAAUUUCCUUGCAAUUUCCGUGCUCUGGUCUGGUUAAAGCACAGAAAUCUAUAUUAAUUAUUGCCUCCCCAGUGGCCCAGUAUGUUUUCUUGCUCCAACCAAUGAACAAACACAUUUCGUCACAGCAGUCAAAUGAACAUGGGCAAUGACAGACAUCUGCCAGGUCCUAGACUUCAAGACAUCACACGGCCAUCCAAUUAUCGAAACGUGUUUCCAGCGUCAAUAGCAAACCAUCACUAUAAAAAGAUUCAAUUUCACAGAUGUUGGUGUUAUGGUCAGAACCAAGAAAACUCUCCAUUGUGUGUAUUUGGAUCUUAAAAUGUCCUCCAAUGACAGCAUCACCUACUUGAAGCAAAAUAUAAUAAAACCUGAAACGGCCAUCAAGAAACCUAAAAAACAUAAAUAAUUUAGGCACAUAAAUUUUAUAUAAACUAAAUCCACAUAGGUUUUUGGAAAAAGGACGUAGAAAUACACUUUUAUUCUAAACAACGAAAUGUAUUGGGUGUAUAGUUUAAGUCGCUAAAAAGGCUAUAUUUAAUUAGUCAGAAACAGUUUACAAUAGCAGCAAAUUCAAUAUGUCGUAAAAAAAAAAAAAUUAAAGUAUAAGAAAAACUUAGAAUCAUGAAUGAUUUUGAAAAAAACAACAACCACGUUUUAAAUUAACCGCAAGUUAUUUUAAUCGAUGAAAAAAGGAAACAAACUGUAUUUUACUCCUACCAACAAAAUAUUUUAUCCCAAAUGAGCUCAAAUGUUUUGGUUUGACGUAAUAUUGCGUAUAUUUCCAGAGCAGACAACAUCUUGUAAUUUUCAGUAUAUAUUCUUAAAUAACUAUUAAUUUUAAUCGUAUAACAGGUGCACUCAUGUCACUUUAGUCUGCGCGGCACGAAAGUCUGCGCAUGUUAAUUACGUUACAUGACGUCUUGAAACAAGUGUUGGGGUAUGUUUGUAAACAAACAAACAACGUUAAUUUAAUUAAUAAAGUAAUGGUUAAAACAACACAUCUUGAUUGUAAAUAUAUGUAUAAAACGGAUAACAAUUUGAUUGAAACAAAAUCUGGAUUAAUGCAUUAAAAGUAUACUUCUGCCA
rnacentral:lncRNA from 1 species